GCAAGUCGAACGGCAGCACGGGAGCAAUCCUGGUGGCGAGUGGCGAACGGGUGAGUAAUAUAUCGGAACGUGCCCAGUAAUGGGGGAUAGCCCGGCGAAAGCCGGAUUAAUACCGCAUACGACCUACGGGUGAAAGCGGGGGAUCGCAAGACCUCGCGCGAUUGGAGCGGCCGAUGUCAGAUUAGCUAGUUGGUGGGGUAAAGGCCUACCAAGGCGACGAUCUGUAGCUGGUCUGAGAGGAUGACC
rnacentral:rRNA from 1 species